rnacentral:rRNA from 1 species
CCAGACUCCUACGGGAGGCAGCAGUGGGGGAUAUUGCACAAUGGGGGAAACCCUGAUGCAGCGACGCCGCGUGUGGGAAGACGGUCCUCUGGAUUGUAAACCACUGUCCCCAGGGACGAAGAUGACGGUACCUGGGGAGGAAGCUCCGGCUAACUACGUGCCAGCAGCCGCGGUAAUACGUAGGGGGCAAGCGUUAUCCGGAUUUACUGGGUGUAAAGGGAGCGUAGACGGCGAUGCAAGUCUGAAGUGAAAGGCGGGGGCCCAACCCCCGGACUGCUUUGGAAACUGUAUGGCUGGAGUGCAGGAGAGGUAAGUGGAAUUCCUAGUGUAGCGGUGAAAUGCGUAGAUAUUAGGAGGAACACCAGUGGCGAAGGCGGCCUGCUGGACUGCAACUGACGUUGAGGCUCGAAGGCGUGGGGAGCAAACAGGAUUAGAUACCCUCGUA